rnacentral:rRNA from 1 species
GACGAACGCUGGCGGCGUGCUUAACACAUGCAAGUCGAACGAAGUGGCGAACGGGUGAGUAAUACGUGGGUAACCUGGCCUCCUUUUUGGGAUAAGCCUUGGAAACGGGGUCUAAUACCGAAUAAAGGGGGAUGUGCUAGCGGCCUAUCAGCUUGUUGGUGGGGUGGUGGACUACCAAGGCGGUGACGGGUAGCCGGCCUGAGAGGGUGAACGGCCACAUUGGGACGGAGAAACGUCCCAGAGUCGUACGGGAGGGAGCAGUGGGGGAUAUUGGAGAAUGGGCGAAAGCCUGAUGCAGCGACGCUGAGUGGGGGAUGAAGGCUUUCGGGUUGUAAACCUCUGUCGCUAGGGAACGGGUAGGUGGAGAAGAAGCGCCGGCUAACUACGUGCCAGCAGCCGCGGUAAUUC